CCCAGUAAUCAGCACAAGUUAGAAUGUGGACAAUUCGGCAGUCAUUGCGCAGGCCCUUUGGUGACUCUAGAUAACCUUGGGCCGAUUGCACGUCCCCGUGACGGCGAUGACGCAUUCAGAUGUCUGCCCUAUCAAUUUUUGAUGGUACUUUCUGCACCUACCAUGGUGACCAUGGGUAACGGGGAAUCAGGGUUCGAUUCCGGAGAGGGAGCCUGAGAAACAGCUACCACUUCCAAGGAAAGCAGCAGGUGCUCAGAUUAUCCACUCCCGAUGAGGUAGUGAUG